CUGUUCCCAGUGCCCAGGAUGGCCUCGGAAGGGGUUUCUGUCAGGGAACAGUCUGCUGGCUAGGGUUACUGGGAGGCGUGCUUUCUUUGGAGCUUGUCUUCAUGUUGUGCUGCUUUGGAAUCGGGUAUUCCUGGAAGAGAAAACAGAGCACCUCUGGACACGAGGUGGAAGACGGUGGCUGCACCUCACACCCAGACAGCGUGAGCAGCUCCUCCAGCAGCUCCUCCAGUGAGAGCAGCUCCUCCAGCAGCUCCUCCAGCAGCAGUUACAGCCUGGACUGCCCUCUCAAGUGUUGUGUGAAGAUGACCCCAAAACAACCGUCUACGAGGAAACCUCUUUUUACCCUGUAGAUCCCACUGCCACCUGCUCUCCCCAUGGGCCUCCCCAAGCUGCCUUCAUCCCUAUUUUUAUCUCCGUCUGUCCCAUCCCAGCCAAUCCGUGUUCCUCUAAAGACCCCAGUACCAGCCCAGCACCGUCCAGCCCCUCCUGGGACCAACACAUCCCUUUCUCUGCCCCUGAGCCCCCUGGCCUUGCCCUCUAGGCAACACUGAAGGUGACACCCCACCACCACCCCGCUUGCAGGUUAGGCAAUGGCCCAUUCCUCUGUUGAAAUAAAGAGAUGGAUUUGUGUCCUGGUUUGAAAGCAAAA